CGUCGAAACAGAGCAGCACGGCUCGCAAAGUACUCCCCAGUGUCCGUUCUGCUGGUAGAAAACCAUGCGCGCCCGGUGUGAAGUACACGUCCCGGCAGGCGCACCGCAGUAGCCACGUCUUGAAAGCCAGCGAGGGGCGGACGAGCACGCCGUCGCCGCCCUCCUCGUCGUCCUCCUCCCACUUCUCACGGCAGGGAGAUAGUGAGAGCGGGCGUGCCGAUCUUCUGGCGCCAACGAUGGCGGGCUUGACCAGCGACAGCGAUGAUAAUGAUAAGUUUGAGUGGGAAAGUGAUGGUGAGGCUGCGCCCUCAUCAGCUCCGACCUUGAGGAACUUGGAUGCUCCUGGCCCGUCCACGCUGGUACGUCAGAAUUCUAACGGGUGGGCCAACGGGGAAGCAACCUCUACUUCUUUAGUCGAGGAAUAUGUGACAAUGGGUUUCCCAAAAGACAUGGUUGUGAAGGGCAUUAAGGAGAUUGGGCACAAUGAUGUAAAUGCGUUGCUAGAGCUACUUCUCACAUAUAAGGCACUAGGUGAUGAGGGUGCAUUGGGUGAUUGCUCUACGUCUGGCUGUGCCUGCCCAAAUGUUCAAGAUGAUGAUGAUGAUGAUCUUGAUUCCGAUAACUGGGAUAACGACAAUGAUACUGGUGGUAGAGAGCACAACUCUGAUAGUUCUGGUGAUGAGGAUUUUCUAAAAGAGAUGUCGGCGAAGGACGAGAAGAUAAACUUAUUAGUAGACAUGGGCUUUUCUGAAGAUGAAGCCAAUAUGGCUAUGACAACAUGUGGUGUGGAUGCUGAUCUCUGUGUAUUAGUUGAUUCGAUUAGUGCAUCACGGGUUGCAGGAGAUUGCCAUUCCAGAAAUUUAUUUGACGAUCAGGUUAUGGAUAGAUGCUUUGAUUCCUUUGGAGAGAGAGAGAAAGCAAGAUUGAUGGAAGAGCGCAAGAAAAAGAGGAAGCGAUAUGGAGGUGGAUCACAUGGCAAUCGAUCUUCCUUGGAUGGUAGCGAUGAUGAACAAAUGCAUCUCCCAAAUCCAAUGGUUGGAUUUAACCUGCCCGGUUAUAGGCGGCCAUCAGUGAUGAGAAUGCUUCCUCAACAAGCUAUUGGACCACCUUUUUUCUACUAUGAAAAUGUGGCCCGAACUCCAAGAGGUGUAUGGGAGACCAUUUCAAGAUUUCUGUAUGACAUUGAACCAGAGUUUGUGGAUUCUAUGCAUUUGUCUGCAGCUGCAAGGAAAAGAGGCUACAUCCAUAAUUUACCAAUUGAGAACAGAUCACCUCUUCUUCCUCUGCCUCCAAAGACCAUAUUUGAGGCAUUUCCUCAUUAUAAGAAGUGGUGGCCUUCUUGGGACCCGAGAAGACAACUCAAUUGUUUGCAAACAACUGUGGCAAGUGCAAAGACGACAGAGCGGAUCCAGUGUCUUCUUGCAAGGUCAAGCAAUCCACCACCUCCAAGUGUUCAGAAAUAUGUCAUUGAUGAGUGUAGAAAAUGGAAUCUUGUCUGGGUUGGAAAAAACAAGGUUGCUCCGUUGGAGCCUAAUGAGGUGGAAUAUCUACUUGGUUUCCCAAGGGACCACACAAGGGGGGUCGGCAAGACCGAGAGAUAUAAAUCUCUUGGCAACUCAUUCCAUGUUGAUACUGUUGCUUACCACUUGUCGGUGCUGAGGGACAUGUUUCCUAAUGGUGUUAGUGUGCUGUCCUUGUUCACCGGUAUUGGAGGAGGAGAGGUAGCUUUGCACAGGCUUGGGAUUCACAUGAGGGCAGUGGUUUCUGUUGAGAUAGGUGAAGCUAAUAGGAGGAUUUUGAGGGGUUGGUGGGAUCAGACCCAGACAGGCACGCUGAUUGAGGUUGCUGACGUGAAAUCUCUCACCCCUGAUAUAAUUGCAUCAUACGUUGGUAGAUUUGGCGGCUUCGACUUGGUGAUUGGGGGCAGCCCAUGUAACAAUCUUGCCGGGAGCAACCGACACCACCGUGAUGGCUUGGAGGGCGAGCAAUCUUCUUUGUUCUACCACUACUUCAGAAUCUUGGAUGUCGUCAAGUCGGCUAUGGCGAGGAUGUAGGCUAUGGCAAGGAUGUAGCCUAAGCAUUGUAGUACCCUAUCUUAUCACGUAGUGUUUAACCGCAACUUCUUUUGUUCUACAUAGAGUAAGAGGCUUCUUUUGUUUAGUUGCUUCAUGUCCUUUUCUUUGCUUGCACUUACAACUAUGUAUCAAGCACUUAAAUCUGUGGGUUCCAGGCUAUGAAAAUGGGGCUUCAAAGUCAGGAAAGAAGUAUGCCAGGUUCUUAGGUGUCUCAAGUUUGUAAGGUUCAGAACUUGGGUUCAGAUUUUCUGAUAGUGAUUGUUAUGUUUAGAGCCUGCCUAGUGCCCUGUACUCCUGGUGCACAGAAUGUUAACUGGCAAAAACCAAAAAUAGUAGCUUCGAUCUGUAUUCUGUAGUGAAUGAAUGGAAAUAAUCAUUAUCAAACUAUCA